rnacentral:SRP_RNA from 1 species
ACUAUAAAAAGUGAUGAAUAUUCUACUGGGGAGAAUAAGGCUAGCGGAUCUCCCGAGCUCAGGAGUUCUGAGCUGUAGUGAGCUAAGUCAAAUGGAUGUCCACAUAAGUCUGGCAUCAGCACAGUGAGCUCCUGGGAGCAGGAGGCCACUGCGCUGCAUAAGAAGGGAGUAAAAUAACACAGAUUGGAAAUGAAGAAGGUCAAAGCUCAUAUACCAUUCAGUUGUAGUACUGGGCCUAGAAGUGGCUACUAUACUUCCAGCCUAGGCAAUAUGGAAAGACCUAGUCUCC